rnacentral:lncRNA from 1 species
GCAGUAAAACAAUACUGUGACAUUCAUUCGCUAUCUCUGACUAUUACGCGUGGUCGAGUCAUGAGAACCCAAUGACCAUUGAAGUCGAGACGUCCCUGUAAAACACUCAAAGGUCAAUAUUUCGUAAGGCUUUUAGUCAUUCUUAAUAAUUGCUCGUUGUAAACAGCUGUUGAUGUAUUGACACAGUUUUUGUGUCUUUUUCGGGUUGUAAAUACGAUAUCCCGCUUUAGACGCAGUUGCGAUAGUGCUGUUGAUUUUUCACAUCGUUUGGUGAUGAAUCAAUUUAAUUCAAGCUAUCGGUGGUCUUGAUGCACGUGGAGUUGUCAGCGGUGCGUAUAAAUCUUUCAUAUCAACUCGGCUGUCCGCUCCGAGAUGGACCGCCAAUUAUUGAGCCUGCUCCACGAAUCCAGAGGGUAACGUUGAUCUGUAAUAAUAACGAGUUUCUCAAAGUCUGGCGCCUGGAACUAGGGUCCUUUGCCGGCGCUCUCUUUGGGAAGUUUUCAACAAUUUGUGUUACGAUUUGCAAAAAGGGCCCUUGUGUUGAAAUUUUGAAUUUUGCGUUUCUUGCGCGUGUCUGUCCUCGAAGGAAAUUUGAUCAUUCAUUUGAGCCCAAGUUUUUCGAAAUAUACCCUGUGAAAGUUGGAUUGGAAAAGAGUUCGAAAACUUAACUUGUUUUUCUCAUAUAUACCUACUUUUCAAAAUUCUUAAAAAAUUAACUGAGACCUCGUUUUGGAGAUCGCAUCACGUUUACUUGUGUGACUUUGAUUCCUACAGCUAUGACUGAGAUUUUGUUUCUCAAAAUCGUAUACCUGAUCGGUUACGAGAAAUCCAUAGUUACUUUAUAGUUAAGGUUUUUUGACUUGUACCUAUGAAUGGGCAAUUCAAAGUUAUAAUGAUCUUUCAUAAAAAAUUUACCCCUAUCAAGCACUGUCACAAAUAACCUGAACAACAUAAGCAAACUUUGGACUCUGAGUCAAAUUGCCUCGCUCAUUAUAAAGUCUUAAAGUACGAAAAAUGUUCACAUACUUCCUACAAAGAUACAACAACCGAUGCAUGCAAAUAAGUAACCGUUAUGUAUUCAAACUUGGUCCACCUCACACGAAUCUGAGCUCAAAUCACUUACCCUGUUGAAAAUUAUUAGCUUCAUAACUAAUAAGAAAGUUACAAUAUCGCCGAAGUCAUAUGCCCUCUUUAGAACCCAAUCCAAUUCAAGUAGAGCUUUGAGCUUGUUUCACACUUAGUUUAUCGUAAAAUUACUACCAGUCUUUAUGUCGGCACUGUGAUCUCGCCACCGGAGAAAAAGCAACGUUGCCAAGAUACAAGAAUUCCUCGUGCUAUUAAGUCGUCGCCUUCCUGACAUAAGGGCGUAACUACACUCGAAGAUGGGUCCUGUUAUCCAUAUAACUCAAUGCUUUCUCGGCAGGGCCGUAUUUCCCAUUAGGCCGGGUAGGCCGCGGCCUACAGCGGCAAUUUUUGAGGGGCGGCAAAUUUUGAAAUUCGAGGUUUUUUUUUGUAAAGUUGGCAAAAUUUAGGAUGCACAGGGGUGGCGGAACUUCAAAGUCCAAGGACCCCCGCGGUGAGCUCUGCCAGACUGGUAAUUAUUUUUUAGCUCCUUAAUUUCGCUCAAAAUAAUCAAAUAAAAUCCAAAGGUAUUAAACCCGGUGACCGGUGUAUUGUCACCAGGCCCGCCACAUCCUAUCUCGGGCCCUGGUACCAGUUUUCUGACCCGGGCCCCUGGCACAGAGGGGGGUCUGGGGGGCCUCCCACGGGAAAUUUUAUAAAUUUUAAAUCUAUUUGGAUGCAUUUUGAAGCUCUAAUGAUGGAGAUUUUCCAUCAAUUUCUGCAGAAUAAUUACGCCUUUUUUUUUACUUUCAGCGCCAAAUACUUUCGAAUUGUUGCAUUCAAAACAUCUAUAAUUUUAGCGGCUCUGGUGCUUGCACUAGAGCUGCUAUUCCGGACGGUCCCAGCUGGGGAGUAUCAAUGGACCAUGUUACAUUGGAGAGACCGCGCGUUGGUUGAUGGGAAUCGGCGCCAUUUUCUGCUGUUUAGGGGGACUGAUUUUAUUUUAAUUGAUAUCUUUUUCCUGUGAUCGAAUGCUAUGUUGUGUAGUGUAUUUUUGGAAUCACGGUGAUACAGUCAAUAAAUCAAAACCUGUCUGUUCUUUAAUCUCGUGAUGGAAAAAAUGUACUUUACGUUCAAAAUUUGAAAUUUUGAAUUUUAAAGUUUUCGCGGUUUUUCGGAAGAAUGCAGUGGUUGGAGCUUCCUAGGCAUAUUACUCGAUAUCAGCUGAUAGCAAACAAAGGUUACCAAGGAAACUGUAAACGUUUAACAACUAUCGUGGCCAUCGGGGCCUCGGCCUCGUAGCCUCGCUAAACGACUUAUCAACCAUGCAUUCCGCCAGAGCCGCUUUCCGACGCGAAUGCGUUGGAGCUAACUGCUUGUUUUUUUUGAGGGGGGGCAGAUGAUACUUUUCAAUUCUAGGGGGAGCCGGGCCCCCCUGGACUCUCCUUUCGUACGUCUAUGGCCUAUGGCAAGGGAGUUGAGCCAUUGAAGUCGAGGAUGCCCAGACAGGAGCCUCUUAGCAUCCGACAACGGAAGAAAAUGAAACGCAGUUACUAAAAAU